rnacentral:lncRNA from 1 species
UACAAAAGCCUAGUUUUGUUCCUAGUUAUUAUAGAGACUUGAAAGCACCAUAAUCACCCUCCCAAGGGAGUUUACGGCCAUAAACUCCAAGGGAAUAUGGUCUAUGGGCCGUAAACUCCCCAAAGGAGUUCAUAUGGUACCCAAACACUUGUAUAGCCUUGAAACAAUUCACCGCUAGAGUUGUAAUAAUUCUAAGCUCCGUUUAGGCACUUGGUUGAGAGUUUACGGCCAGGAGUUUAAUCCCCUUGGCCGUAAACUCCAAUGAAUAUGGUCAUUAGACCUUAAACUCCCAUUAGGGGCUUUGCACUCCUUUGUUGCAACCCAUUAGUCUCCUAGCAAUUGACCAAAAUUGUUUUCCUCGCGCUUAAAUGUUAUUACUUGUAUAAUUAGUGUUUUAAUCACUAAUUAUUUAUAUACAUAUGUUUUCAUAUGUAAUUAGGAUCAUUGUGUGUGUCUAAGUCUUCACUUGACACCAAGCACUUGUCCGAUCCUUCCGUACGAUAACAGUCCGUUCAAUUCCAGUCACUUACUGCAGGUGAGUUCAUACCCCUUAACUAAUGUUUUAAACUANCAGUCACUUACUGCAGGUGAGUUCAUACCCCUUAAUUAAUGUUUUAAACUACUUUUAAAUGUUUUAUGGGGGGAUACAAGUAGAAUCAUGCUAGUUAUUAUAUCAAUCACAUGCGAUUAAUAAGUAGAAUUACGCUAGUUAUUAUAUCAAUCACAUGUGAUUAAUAUACAACAUUCAAAAGAUUUGGCUACUCAUGAGCCGUUUUACCAAACGGUUUCCUACAAAUGAUUUUUAUAAACAUUUUAUAUGUUUUAAACUACUUAUUACACUGUACAUUUUACUCUGUACAUUACCUUUCAAACUUAUUUACAACUGUGAUUCAAACAAAUGUUCCUUAUACUUAAACUGUUUUAUCAAACUUAUGCCUUCAAAUUGUUUUAUAGAUUGACAUCAAGUCGAUCUUUUCUUAAAAUAAUAUUUCUGUUUCAAAUGUCUUACAAAACUUAUUUAUGCUUUUACUACUUAUAAAUUGCAUGCCCAUAUAUGUAUAGAUAUAUAAGCAAUGUUUAAAGGGCUUAGGAAGGCCAUCCGCCCUAUUUCCUUUUUCUCGAUUUGGAUGUGGUCUGGUGGGAUUUCGGGUGACCGUCCGAAGGUCGUUUCCAUAUUAGUUAUAUAUCAAUUAUACAUAUAUAGACAUAAAAGUACUUCCAUAUUCAUGCGUACUAUACACGUCAUUAGUAAGUUACCAUCGGGGUAACACAGUAUCGUACUACUACAACUGCUAGAUCAAUGAGUCAGUUCAUUCAUGCGUCUAUACAUUACAUAUACAACUAUACUAGGAGGAGAACAUAUACAACUAUACUAGGAGGAGAACAUAUACAACUAUACUAGGAGGAGAACAUAUACAACUAUACUAGAACGAGAAACAUUACAUUACAUAUACUAGAAU